rnacentral:rRNA from 1 species
GACGAACGCUGGCGGCGUGCCUAAUACAUGCAAGUAGAACGCUGAAGGAGGAGCUUGCUUCUCCGGACGAGUUGCGAACGGGUGAGUAACGCGUAGGUAACCUGCCUGGUAGCGGGGGAUAACUAUUGGAAACGAUACCUAAUACCGCAUAACAGUAGAUGUUGCAUGACAUUUGCUUAAAAGGUGCAAUUGCAUCACUACCAGAUGGACCUGCGUUGUAUUAGCUAGUUGGUGAGGUAACGGCUCACCAAGGCGACGAUACAUAGCCGACCUGAGAGGGUGAUCGGCCACACUGGGACUGAGACACGGCCCAGACUCCUACGGGAGGCAGCAGUAGGGAAUCUUCGGCAAUGGACGGAAGUCUGACCGAGCAACGCCGCGUGAGUGAAGAAGGGUUUCGGAUCGUAAAGCUCUGUUGUAAGAGAAGAACGAGUGUGAGAGUGGAAAGUUCACACUGUGACGGUAUCUUACCAGAAAGGGACGGCUAACUACGUG